GAUCAUGCUCAGGAUGAACGCUAGCUACAGGCUUAACACAUGCAAGUCGCGGGGCAGCAUGUCGGUUGCUUGCAACCGAUGAUGGCGACCGGCGCACGGGUGAGUAACGCGUAUCCAACCUGCCCUUCACCACGGAAUAAUCCAGUGAAAAUUGGUCUAAUACCGUAUGAGGUCAUACGAUGGCAUCAGAAUAUGACGAAAGGUUUAGCGGUGAAGGAUGGGG
rnacentral:rRNA from 1 species